rnacentral:rRNA from 1 species
GUGGGGAAUAUUGGGCAAUGGGCGCAAGCCUGACCCAGCAACGCCGCGUGAAGGAAGAAGGCUUUCGGGUUGUAAACUUCUUUGACCAGGGACGAAAAAAAUGACGGUACCUGGAAAACAAGCCCCGGCUAACUUCGUGCCAGCAGCCGCGGUAAUACGAAGGGGGCUAGCGUUGCUCGGAUUUACUGGGCGUAAAGGGCGCGUAGGCGGACAUUUAAGUCAGGGGUGAAAUCCCGGGGCUCAACCUCGGAACUGCCUUUGAUACUGGGUGUCUUGAGUAUGAGAGAGGUGUGUGGAACUCCGAGUGUAGAGGUGAAAUUCGUAGAUAUUCGGAAGAACACCAGUGGCGAAGGCGACACACUGGCUCAUUACUGACGCUGAGGCGCGAAAGCGUGGGGAGCAAACAGGAUUAGAUACCCCAGUAGUCC